ensembl:lncRNA
UAGAAAGGCUGCAAUGCUAUCAAGCAAAUUAAAAGCUUAAGUGCAUCACUGUUCCUGGGGCCAAUAGAAUAACUGUUUGGAUGUCUGCACUGUACAACUGUAGACGACGGGCAUGGAAUCAAGUUAACCAACACGUCUGGCCAAGAGUCAGACAUUUUCGUUUGGGGACCAUUUCAGUUUAAUUGUGAUGCGGGCUGACAGCGCCCUCUAGCCGCAGCACUCACAGCCACGCCCACUUCUUGUUCGUCAGGCACAUUUAAUUUGCCUUGGAGCUUUGUGGAGAAUCAGACACAUGACAUGUCAGGACACAUCUGGUACAUAGAAGGAUUUCUCUUCGCUUCUCCAUUCCCCACUCCUGCAGAUUCUUCACCUUUAUUGGAGACAGAAUAUCUUCCCUAAAGAAGAGGCCUCCAGCCUCCUUUCUUCUUGUUGAUUAGUUCUAAUGCUCCCGUAAGGUCCACCUCCUUGCAGACAACAUGGCAUUUACCUUAUGUGACAUCUUCAGGAGUUCUUAAGACAUGCCACGGAGGUGAGAGAGAGGGCAGUGUUGGGGGAGGAGGGGGUUAGGGCAGGCCCAUCAGCGUCACACAGCAUCCGCCAGGAAGACAUCGAAUGCCACCCUCGUCCUUGGUGGUUGCUGAUGUAUCUAGCUCUGCCUACUGGCAAACGCCCCGGGUCACUAGAGCCAGCACAGUGCCUGCUCAGCACCAGUAGCCAUGGUCCGUGUAAGAGGCAGCCAGCUGUGCUGUACAACUGACCGUCACGGUGGAGGGCCUUUGUCCUGCUGAGCACCCGCACAGGUUUGGGUGUGCAAGUUUGGAGUGGAGCCGGGAAUCCCAGAGGGAGAGCAAAGGUCAUGAGUCUAAGGUCUUCUUAGGAGAAGGCAAAGAGAAAAACACUUUGUGGGGCCAUGACCAGAAAGGGUCUUUGUAGAAGAGAAUGUGUAACAGGGAUUUGAAGCUAGCAGUUGUGUGCCAGGCAAGGUAAACCCUUUCUCCCUCUGUCACAUCCUCUGUGAAGUCACAAACUCACGCAAGCCUGUGAGUGUGGAGGCUGUGGGAGGAACAAUGCAGGAGGGUCGUCAGUGAUCAUCACAGCAUCUUUUUUUUGGUGCACCUAAUAUGUGCCAGGAACUAUGCAUUUCAUGGAUAGUCUCACUUAGUCUACACUACAUUCCAAAAAGUUACUUUUAUCUCCAAUUUGCUUCAUGAUCAUAUUUUUAUAUUAUGAUAUGAUAUUAUUAGUCUUGUAAUGAUUCAAUAAGUUGUUUUCUCUGUUUCAGCCAGGACUUAUUUAUUUCACAAAAAACAGUAACCUACUCAAAGAAUCUAAGAAAAGGUGUUUCUUAGUAGGUUACAGGGGAGUGUCGUGGAAAACACAAGCAGGAGAGUGAGUUGAGUCUCAUGGGAAUUAAAAAGUCGUUGGGCCACCCUCUUUCUUUUUCUCUGUCCCUGGGCUGUAUGGUUCUCUGCUGAUCUGUUCUCUUCUCCAGCCUUUCUCUGAAGAUGGGGUUCCAACUGUCAACAUUCCAGCUUGCACGUUGUUAGAGAUGGGUCCCAAGUUCCAGGCAGUCAGCUGCAGGCUCAUCAAUGGAGAUUCUGUGUCUCCUAGCUCCAAUUCCAAUAGGAGGGAAUCUGAUUGGCUCAUCAAGGGUCAGGUGGCCACAUCUCAUCCAAUCAUCUGUGGCCAGAAGGGGGAGCCCUCGGGACAGCACAGUUUCCGUAGCAUCCAAGGAGGUGGUGUGCUACUGUGUCUGCGGUAACGCCCAUUUCACAGGAGAGGACACAGAGGUUCAGAGCCGGAAAUGCUUUGAUGCCCAGGUGUAGCUACCGUGUGAGCAGUUCAGCUGCCGCGAGACCACCGUGCUGUGAGGGAGUCUAAACCAGCCCGUGCAGGGAGGCCACGUGGAGAAGUUCUGAAACCAAUGAAGAGGGGAGAGAGAGAAAGAGGUCCAGCUGGCCCCCAGCUGCUUCAUCCCACUCCUGUUCCAAAGCCAGCCACCACCCGACCAUCACUGAUUAAGAUACCCUGAGCCAGAACCACCCGGGGCAGCCAUUUCUGAGUUCCUGACCCACAGAAUCCAUAAGAGAUGUUAAAAUGAUUGUUGUCACUUUAAGCCAAUAAUUUUGGUGGUGAUUUAAGAGAUAACAGGAACAGAAUUUUG